GUCGCGGCUGUUGUCAUGUUCCCAUUUGCAUUCUUUCUAGAGAGAAAUGAGAGACCAAAGCUCACAUUUGCUCUGUUCAUGGAAAUUUUUGUGCUUUCCUUGGUUGGGAUUAGUGUACCAAUCAAUAUGUACUUGGCAAGCACUUCUCCAACUUUUGUUGCUUCCAUUGUCAACGUCAUAGCUUCCCUUACCUUCAUCAUUGCAGUAGUACUAAGGUUGGCCAAUUAGUUUUGAGCUUCGUCCUUGUAUCUCCUAUUUUACAGUAAGACCUAAAUAUUUGGAUUGCGUUUUAAUUUCGUUUUUAAUAUUUGAAAAAUUUUAUUUUAUUUUUUAUUUCAAAUGUCUUGCUCUAUUAUAUUUUAGUUCUUUGGCUAAAAUCAAAAUUUUUUUAAGUAAUGAC